GACGAACGCUGGCGGCGCGCCCAAUACAUGCAAGUCGAGCGAGAACCAGGGCUUCGGCCCUGGGGACAGCGGCGAACGGGUGAGUAACACGUGGAUAACCUGCCCUCGGCACCGGAAUAGCCCGGGGGAAACUCGGAUUAAUGCCGGAUAGCCCCCACAUCCUCUCUGGGGAACGUGGGAAAAGGUAGCUUCGGCCUCUGGCCGGGGAUGGGUCCGCGGUGGAUUAGCUUGUUGGCGGGGUAACGCCCACAAGGCGACGAUCCAUAGCUGGUCUGAGAGGACGAUCAGCCACACUGGGACUGAGACACGGCCCAGACUCCU
rnacentral:rRNA from 1 species